rnacentral:piRNA from 1 species
UAGUCUUUGUGAUCCCCUAUGAGGCCUGUUUA